AUUGAACGCUGGCGGCAUGCUUUACACAUGCAAGUCGAACGGUAACAGGCCGCAAGGUGCUGACGAGUGGCGAACGGGUGAGUAAUGCAUCGGAACGUGCCCAGUCGUGGGGGAUAACGCAGCGAAAGCGGUGCUAAUACCGCAUACGAUCUAUGGAUGAAAGCGGGGGACCGUAAGGCCUCGCGCGAUUGGAGCGGCCGAUGUCAGAUUAGGUAGUGUGUGGGGUAAAGGCCUACCAAGCCGACGAUCUGUAGCUGGUCUGAGAGGACGACCAGCCACACUGGGACUGAGACACGGCCCAAACUCCUACGGGAGGCAGCAGUGGGGAAUUUUGGACAAUGGGCGCAAGCCUGAUCCAGCAAUGCCGCGUGCAGGAAGAAGGCCUUCGGGUUGUAAACUGCUUUUGUACGGAACGAAACGGCCUGGGUUAAUACCCUGGGCUAAUGACGGUACCGUAAGAAUAAGCACCGGCUAACUACGUGCCAGCCGCCGCGGUAACAC
rnacentral:rRNA from 1 species